rnacentral:rRNA from 1 species
AUUGAACGCUGGCGGCAGGCUUAACACAUGCAAGUCGAGCGGUAGCACAGGGGAGCUUGCUCCCUGGGUGACGAGCGGCGGACGGGUGAGUAAUGUCUGUGAAACGGCCUGAUGGAGGGGGAUAACUACUGGAAACGGUAGCUAAUACCGCAUAACGUCGCAAGACCAAAGAGGGGGACCUUCGGGCCUCUUGCCAUCAGAUAUGCCCAGAUGGGAUUAGCUAGUAGGUGGGGUAAUGGCUCACCUAGGCGACGAUCCCUAGCUGGUCUGAGAGGAUGACCAGCCACACUGGAACUGAGACACGGUCCAGACUCCUACGGGAGGCAGCAGUGGGGAAUAUUGCACAAUGGGCGCAAGCCUGAUGCAGCCAUGCCGCGUGUGUGAAGAAGGCCUUCGGGUUGUAAAGCACUUUAAGCGAGGAGGAAGGUGGUGAGCUUAAUACGUUCAUGAAUUGACGUUACUAGCAGAAGAAGCACCGGCUAACUUCGUG